GGAUGUGAGGGCGAUCUUGCUGCGACAUCUGUCACCCCAUUGAUUGUCAGGGUUGAUUCGGCUGAUCUGGCUGGCGAGGCGGGUGUCCUCUUCCUCCCUUACUGCUCCAUGUGCGUCCCUCCCGAAGCUGUGUGCUUGGUCGAAGAGGACGGCCUUCCCCGAAUAGAGACGGACUGGUCUUCGGUCAAGGGUAUAGGAGUAGCUGCGCUCCCCUGCUAGAACCUCCAAACAAAUCCAACUUCAAAGCAGACUAAAACAAAAAUAAACCAAUGGGACUACAUU
rnacentral:snRNA from 1 species